UACAGAGGUCUCAAGCGUUGUUCGGAUUCAUUGGGCGUAAAGGGUGUGUAGGUGGCGCCGUAAGUCGGGUGUGAAAUUUCGGAGCUUAACUCCGAAACUGCAUUUGAUACUGGCGUGCUUGAGGACUGGAGAGGAGACUGGGAAUUCAUGGUGUAGCAGUGAAAUGCGUAGAGAUCAUGAGGAAGACCAGUGGCGAAGGCGGGCUCUGGACAGUUCCUGACACUGAGGCAC
rnacentral:rRNA from 1 species